rnacentral:rRNA from 1 species
GAGGAAUGUAUAGCAAUAGCUACUUGCAUCAUUGUACAGAUGAUGCAAGAUCGACUAUGUCGAAUAAAAUUCUAGGUAGAAUUAUGAUAAUGACAUUGUCUGCCUAUGUGUCUUGACCAAAUUACGUGCCAGCAGUCGCGGUAAUACGUAGAAGACUAGUGUUAUUCAUGUUUAAUCGGUUUAAAGGGUACCUAGACGGUAGAUCAAGCUUUUUCAUAUAAAUUCUGAUAAUAAAAGGGACUAAUUKGCUAGAGUUACUUACGAGGGGGUAUUAAAGUACUGCUGGUGUAGAGAUGAAAUUCUGUCAUACCUCUUUUCGAAAGAAAAAUCAUGGCACAGGUAUAGGCGAAGGCAUCCCCUUAUGUGAUAACUGACGUUGAGGGACGAAGGCUUCGUGUAACAAACAGGAUUAGAUACCCUAGUAGUUGGAGCAGAAAAUGAUGAAUGUCAUAGAUUAGAUAUAUAAGUUUAUUCUAUAAAUGAAAGUGUAAGCAUUCCACCUCAUGAGUAAUUUGGCAACAUUGGAAUUGAAAUCAUUAGACCGUUUCUGAAACCAGUAGUGAAGUAUGUUGUUUAAUUUGAUAGUCCGCAAAAAACCUUACCACAAUUUGAAUAUUUAUAUUUUUUUUUAUUGUUUUUUUCUUAAUUUUCUUCUAAUUACAUAUUCAGCAUGUAAAAACAAGAAAGUUAAUNAAAAGACAAUAAUAUAUAUUUACAAGCGUUGCACGGCUGUCUUCAGUUAAUGUCGCGAGACUUUGGUUAGUUCCAUUAAAUUAACGUAAACCCUUACUUUAUUUUUAUAUAGAGUAGUUCCCCGCUAUAUUGGAUAUGAU